rnacentral:rRNA from 1 species
ACAUGCCUACAUCAUAGUGUUAAUGAACUGUAUCCCAUUAGAAUUUUGCAGUUAAGUGCACUCAGGCUAGAGUAGUACUGGGAUGGGUGACCGCCUGGGAAGUCCUAGUGUUUUACAUUCC